UUUCCCAUUUAAAAGUGAAAUAAAGCAAAUUUUGCGUUAUUGCCGUUUGUGUUAUUUCAACCCCCCCAAAGGCUGUAUCUCAUUGCUUUGAAUAACCACGCCCACCUCUCAUAUAAUGGUAAGAAUCAAUAACUUCUGAGGCUAAUUCACUCAAAAUCGACGCUUGCAAUAACCUCUUAGCAGAAAAUUAGACCAAAAACGUGUAUCCCGGUAACAAAUGUAUCAAUUUCUACCAAACUCGGAGGAUUUAGUUACCUUGGUACGGAAGAGCAACAUGUUGAAGAUUUUUGAAAUUGGACUAAAAUUACACCCGCUUCCCAUAAAACGGUAAACUUUGGAAAUACGAAGACUCUGAUAUUUCAAUAUAACUGAGGACGCCAAUUUACGCCGAGUUAAUAGGUGCUUAUAACAAUCUCUUAAUAAAAAAAUAAGGCUGUUAUAGGAUUUUAGGAAAUGGGCGUGCUACCACCCACACAUUAUUAUAACUUGCAAAUAUUAAACCUCAGCAGAAAGUAAUUCAUAUUUCAUUUCAGAUCCCAAAACACGGCAUCUCAUACAAAGGAAGUACAAAUCUAAGCUGGUACCAGUUGAAUACAUCCUUCAUCAUUUCAUUCGCGUACUGUCAAUCGCCUACGACAUUCAUCUACGGGAAAGAGAAACUCGCGAAUAGCGAAAGCUCAGCGUAGCUGGUAAGGAGAAUAAUGAACUAGAAGAAGCUGAGAAUGAUGAAUGAACACCAACAGCUGAGCCAGCGUGCGCAUACGACAGCCAGAACUGAGAUAAUUUUUUAACAAUAAUAUUGCAACUGUGAUAAAUCAAAAGUGGGCUGAAACACCAUGCUCAGCUGAUUUCUGCACGAUAACUAGAAAAUCAAAAUAUAUACUGAAAUGCAAUAGAAUCUUUUUGGAACGAAGUAAUUUAAGUGCAACCAGUCGGCACAUUCUCUAAACAAAAAAAGCAAACAAGGAAACAUUAACUAAUAGUUAUAAAGUAAACGUAGUUGCCUUUUAAUGCCAAGCAAAUAAAAAACCGAUGCAAUCUUCAAAA